AGACCGAUUGUUUCACCUAAAGAAACUUUAUCUGACCCGAAACCGAAUUCAAGUUUUAGAAAACUUGGAUAAGAAUAAAAACUUAGAGGAAUUGCAUCUAGGGUCACAGCGUUUACCUGCAGGCGAACAGUUUAUUAUAAAUCCUAGUUGUUGUGAAGAACUCUCUAAAUGUUUAAAGUAUUUAAAUAUAUCGAACACAAGACUCUCAACUUUAUCAGGUAUCGAGGGACUAAAAAGUCUGGAAACCUUGGUUUGUUUUGGCAAUAAUCUACAAUGCAUUCAAUCUGUUAUCAA